GAACUUCUUUGUAGAAUGCUGUCCCAAAAUUCCAGGAAGAAUAUUGCACGAGUGUUUGGAUAGACCAGAAAGAGUGGACCUUUUCAACGAAUAAAACUGGUGCUAGAAGCCCUCCGCAACAUCGCAAAUAUCGCAUUCAUACAUCAGCGUUGGUGUCAUACCUUCAACUUAACAUUCGCAUACCUGUAGAGUUUGGAAGUUUAACUCCAUUCGGUCAUCCAGUCAAGGUCCAGGGCUCCAGGCCGUGAAUGUCCGCACUCAAAAUGGGUUUACUUUGUUGGCGUCAUCUAGACGAGUCAUCAUCACUAAGGGGAGGGAAGGAAACCAUUUGUGGUGGAUGGCAACUGAGCCGAGGCAACAAGAGAGGCCAUCAAACCAGACAGCGUCAAAAUACGCUUGAAUCCAAAAGAGUUCGACUUCAAUUAAAUUAAUUACCAAUAUUGAAAAACCUUGCCUUAAAAAUCGAGAUUAAUUUCUUCUACCGAACUACUUGCUAACUAGACGAUCGUCGAUUGUGCGGAAAUUCAGGAGUCAGUCCCGUCUUUCAUAGUGUCCAGAUUAGGUGGCGAACAAUCGCCCUAUCAGGGUGUGACAAACCGGCGGGAUCGUGAACUCCCUGUUUCCAUAAACGAUCAAGGGCUGCUGGGCCAACGAAAGUUGACGUUCCGGGGUGAUGGUUCUCUCACUGGCUGUCAUUAAAAAAAAACCUGGAUUCCCGUCAAGGUGGUUUCAAUCAUCAAGAGCAGUGCCAACGCCCAUUCAUAUCAGAAAUCACCAAGACAUUGAAGCGAAGAAUCAAUAUUUUUUCCAGACAAAUAUCAUGUUGAUUUAGCUGGUAUCGUCGUACGAUGACAACUGCUCGUCAACCAGUAUCGAUGAAAAGAAG
rnacentral:lncRNA from 1 species